AGCAGCCGCGGUAAUACAUAGGGUGCAAGCGUUGUCCGGAAUUAUUGGGCGUAAAGAGCUCGUAGGUGGUCGAUCACGUCGGAUGUGAAAUUCCGAGGCUUAACCUCGGACCUGCAUUCGAUACGGGUUGACUAGAGUGUGGUAGGGGAGACUGGAAUUCCUGGUGUAGCGGUGGAAUGCGCAGAUAUCAGGAGGAACACCGAUGGCGAAGGCAGGUCUCUGGGCCAUUACUGACACUGAGGAGCGAAAGCGUGGGGAGCGAACAGGAUUAGAUACCCUGGUAGUCCACGCCGUAAACGGUGGGCGCUAGUUGUGGGAACCUUCCACGGUUUCUGCGACGCAGCUAACGCAUUAAGCGCCCCGCCUGGGGAGUACGGUCGCAAGACUAAAACUCAAAGAAAUUGACGGGGCCCCGCACAAGCAGCGGAGCAUGCGGCUUAAUUCGACGCAACGCGAAGAACCUUACCAAGGCUUGACAUAUACAGGAAUACGGCAGAGAUGUCGUAGCCGCAAGGUCUGUAUACAGGUGGUGCAUGGUUGUCGUCAGCUCGUGUCGUGAGAUGUUGGGUUAAGUCCCGCAACGAGCGCAACCCUCGUCCUGUGUUACCAGCAUUUAGUUGGGGACUCACAGGAGACUGCCGGGUCAACUCGGAGGAAGGUGGGGAUGACGUCAAAUCAUCAUGCCCCUUAUGUCUUGGGCUGCACGCAUGCUACAAUGGCUGGUACAAAGGGCUGCGAUACCGCGAGGUGGAGCGAAUCCCAAAAAGCCAGUCUCAGUUCGGAUUGGGGUCUGCAACUCGAACCCCAUGAAGUCGGAGUUGCUAGUAAAUCGUAGAUCAGCACGCUACGCGAUACGUUCCCGGGGGCUUUGUUACAAACGACGGUUCAG
rnacentral:rRNA from 1 species